rnacentral:rRNA from 1 species
UACAGAGGGUGCGAGCGUUAAUCGGAAUUACUGGGCGUAAAGCGCACGUAGGCGGCUUGGUAUGUCGGGUGUGAAAUCCCCGGGCUCAACCUGGGAACUGCAUCCGAAACUGCCUUGCUAGAGUAUGGGAGAGGGAAGUGGAAUUUCCGGUGUAGCGGUGAAAUGCGUAGAUAUCGGAAGGAACAUCAGUGGCGAAGGCGACUUCCUGGACCAAUACUGACGCUCAGUGCGGAAAGCGAGGGGAGCAAACAGGGAUU